GGGGUACUGUAAGUGGUAGAGUAGCCUUGUUGCUACGAUCCACUGAGGUUAAGCCCUUGUUCUAAAGAUUUGUUCAACUUUGUUGGACUUUCUCUUUUCUUUUUACAUGCUGAAACCUUGAGGGCCGGGAUAGUAUCCUUUGUGCACUCGCGACAGCAUGUUACUUGCGUUCGAACGGGUAAGCUAACAACAACUUUGUGUUUUGUUACCUUUCUCGUUUGAAUCAUGAGUUAUUAUGAGCCUUGAAGGCUUAGAAGGAACUUGGUUAGCAAGCUCUAAACGCGCGCUGACUUGGAACGGUCUUUGCCUUGUACUUGAUAUCGACCUUAUGGCCGAUAUCCCGCAUAUGGUAUAGCCAAGAUCCUUGAAAGAGCGAGUUAAUGAGUGAUUUUCUGGAUCGUCAGUGAGCUUGAAUGCCUGCCCUAAGGUUGCCAUGRAUGAAAUGGCCUUAGGAGCUAAGUAAGCUAAGCUACGGUUACCUUUCUAGCCGUUGUAACCGUUUACUUAGCUUUCUAGGGCUACGUUCAAACUUUGAACGGCAACUGGUCCUGAAUCGAAAGGUUUGCUAUGUAAACCUUUAGUCAAGACCUGUUUGCAACAAAUUUGGUGGCUGCAGGGCGAGUUUUCAUUGAUUUGGCCUAUAGCGAAAGUUGGU
rnacentral:misc_RNA from 1 species